rnacentral:tRNA from 1 species
CUUAAAUAAGAAACAAAUUAUUGUAUUUAGUUUCGACCUAAAAUCUUGGUGUUAAAUCACCCUUAUUUAAUUU